rnacentral:rRNA from 1 species
GACGAACGCUGGCGGCGUGCUUAACACAUGCAAGUCGAACGGAAAGGCCCUGCUUUUGUGGGGUGCUCGAGUGGCGAACGGGUGAGUAACACGUGAGUAACCUGCCCUUGACUUUGGGAUAACUUCAGGAAACUGGGGCUAAUACCGGAUAGGAGCUCCUGCUGCAUGGUGGGGGUUGGAAAGUUUCGGCGGUUGGGGAUGGACUCGCGGCUUAUCAGCUUGUUGGUGGGGUAGUGGCUUACCAAGGCUUUGACGGGUAGCCGGCCUGAGAGGGUGACCGGCCACAUUGGGACUGAGAUAAGGCCCAGACUCCUACGGGAGGGAGCAGUGGGGAAUAUUGCACAAUGGGCGGAAGCCUGAUGCAGCAACGCCGCGUGCGGGAUGACGGCCUUCGGGUUGUAAACCGCUUUCGCCUGUGACGAAGCGUGAGUGACGGUAAUGGGAAAAGAAGCACCGGCUAACUACGUG